UCCUCCCUCUUUCUUCGUGCUUAACACAUGCAAGUCGAACGGAAAGGCCCUGCUUGCAGGGUGCUCGAGUGGCGAACGGGUGAGUAACACGUGGGUGAUCUGCCCCUUACUUUGGGAUAAGCCUGGGAAACUGGGUCUAAUACUGGAUAGGACCAUGCUGUAGGGGGUGUGGUGGAAAGAUUAGUUUCGGUAAGGGAUGAGCUCGCGGCCUAUCAGCUUGUUGGUGGGGUAAUGGCCUAUCAAGGCGUCGACGGGUAGCCGGCCUGAGAGGGUGGACGGGCACAUUGGGACUGGGAUACGGCCCAGACUCCUACGGGAGGCAGCAGUGGGGAAUAUUUCACAAUGGGGGCAAGCCUGAUGCAGCGACGCCGCGUGGGGGAUGACGGCCUUCGGGUUGUAAACUCCUUUCAGCCAUGACGAAGCCCUUGUGGUGACGGUAGUGGUAGAAGAAGCACCGGCUAACUACGUG
rnacentral:rRNA from 1 species